rnacentral:rRNA from 1 species
AGGGAAUCUUCCGCAAUGGGCGAAAGCUUGACGGAGCAACGCCGCGUGAGUGAUGAAGGUCUUCGGAUCGUAAAACUCUGUUAUUAGGGAAGAACAAAUGUGUAAGUAACUAUGCACGUCUUGACGGUACCUAAUCAGAAAGCCACGGCUAACUACGUGCCAGCAGCCGCGGUAAUACGUAGGUGGCAAGCGUUAUCCGGGAUUAUUGGGCGUAAAGCGCGCGUAGGCGGUUUUUUAAGUCUGAUGUGAAAGCCCACGGCUCAACCGUGGAGGGUCAUUGGAAACUGGAAAACUUGAGUGCAGAAGAGGAAAGUGGAAUUCCAUGUGUAGCGGUGAAAUGCGCAGAGAUAUGGAGGAACACCAGUGGCGAAGGCGACUUUCUGGUCUGUAACUGACGCUGAUGUGCGAAAGCGUGGGGAUCAAACAGGAUUAGAUACCCUGGUAGUCCACGCCGUAAACGAUGAGUGCUAAGUGUUAGGGGGUUUCCGCCCCUUAGUGCUGCAGCUAACGCAUUAAGCACUCCGCCUGGGGAGUACGACCGCAAGGUUG